CAAAAAUCCAAGGGUAGGACUACCCGCUGAACUUUAAGCAUAUCAAUAAGCGGGAGGAAAAAGAAACUUAACAAGGAUUCCCCUAGUAACUGCGAAUUGAAGCGGGAAAAAGCUCCAAAUUUUUAAAAUCUUGGGCGGGUCU
rnacentral:rRNA from 1 species